CACGUAGGGUGCGAGCGUUGUCCGGAAUUAUUGGGCGUAAAGAGCUCGUAGGCGGCUUGUCGCGUCGGGCUGUGAAAACCUGGGGCUCAACCCCGGGACCCUGCAGCCGAUACGGGCAAGCUAGAAUUCGGUAGGGGAGACUGGAAUUCCUGGUGUAGCGGUGGAAAUGACGCAGAUAUCAGGAGGAACACCGGUGGCGAAGGCGGGUCUCUGGGCCGAAAUUGACGCUGAGGAGCGAAAGCGUGGGGAGCAAACAGG
rnacentral:rRNA from 1 species